CAUAGUCAGGGCCUCCCUCUCCACUUGCUCUACUGCUGCUCGUCUCUUCCCGACAUGGACCACUCGUUAAGCUCUGGUCUCCAAUACCAAAAUCCUUGGAUCCUUGGCUAGGAGGUUUUACUGAGUGACUUACGGCACUAGAGAAACCACCUGUAAGAGACAGAUGCCACCGUAUUUGUCACAUUUGUGAAUAAAAUGUGUGUAGGGUUUACUUCAAAGUAACACAAAGGAGACAGUGUAUGAGCAAUGAAACAGGAUGAGCCUGAAGAGAGCAAUCUGGAAGACUGUCCCACCAUGUGGAGUGGGAGAGUGUCCUCAUGCUCACGUUACAUAAGAGCCGACCUGAGCCCUGAACAGUGGCUGCUCCGCCGGCCCAGGGCAGAUGCAGAAGCAUUCCGUCUGUUUCUGAGUUUGCAGUGGCUUAUCCACUGGAGACAGAAGGAAGAGGAAAUCUUCUCAGAUCUCAUCAAGGCGACUCACUGGCUUCACCCACACUGUCAGCACAGCAUCUCAUAGGUACACCAGCUAAGCGGACAUGGGAGGAAGUUAAGAGCCUAGCGGCAGGCUGGCCUCAUCUUCUUGCCUCUCUAACCUGCCUGACUUUUUUUUUUUUUUUGAGACUUAUUGUGUUGUUUUUUUGACACUGUCAUCUGGAAUUCAAAGGACACUGCGCCAAGAGCUAUGGAAGGACAGCAGUGACAUUUGACUACCAUCUCCACCACCAGGAUUGGCAAGACCCUGGGGGCUGCCAUAGUCCAGCCAUACUCUCUGCCUCCCCCUCCCCCCUCUCAUCUUUUCACCCCAGAUAAUGCCAGCUUCUGCCCCCCGCCCCCACACACACACCUUUGCGUCCCUCCUUCCCCUACACUGUGGCUUUCCAGUCCUUUUCUAGCCAAGUCCAGCCGGACCAGCACAUACAUGCAGAAGUGAAACAAACUCCGUAAACAACACCCUCUGAUGAGCGAUUCCUGAUGGAAAUCGGUAGUCCUGUUAUGACAGAAAGAGAUGGUUCUGUUCCAUCCCACCCCGUGACUUUAAACUUCUAGCUACAACUCAUUAAUUUGAUUUCACAACCAGCUAAUGGGUUGCGACCUGCAGUUUGCGAAAUUCUCUGUCGUCUGCAACCUGGAAGCGGUGGGCAGUGCCGACACCAGCCUCUGGCUUGUCUCUGCCGUUCCUGCUUUCUUUCACACAGGGGUCCUGCAUCUUCCCUGUUCCAAUGACCCCACUGCGGGGGGUGGGGGGCUCUGCCAUCAUUUCUCUCUGGGCCUGGUGUCCAAUCCUCGGCCCACUCAGCCCCGCCUCUCCGAGCCCAUCAAUCAGCACUCAGGUGGCACCUACCUGACCUUAUCCCUCCCCACUCUCUGGCCUGAGAUACAGAACCCACAUUUUCCUCCUAUGAAGUCAUAAAUGUCCCCCAAACUCAUCCUUAACUGUGGCUGGAGACUGGAAGGUGAGGUAAUGCUACCACAGAGGGGACAGUCAGGCUCAUACCUGAGCUGUGGCAGGUACAGAAUUCUCUUUAAAUCUGUACUAUGUUUUCCACAUUAUUUACAGUGGACUGUGCUGUCCUUGGAACUACAAAGGAAGUCAAACUUAAGAUGAGAGUAUAAUACAAUUCUGUCCC